rnacentral:rRNA from 1 species
AACUAACGCUGGCGGCGCGUCUUAAACAUGCAAGUCAAACGGGUAGCAAUACCAGUGGCGAACGGGUGAGUAAUACAUGGAUAACCUACCUUUAAGUUGGGAAUAACACAGAGAAAUUUGUGCUAAUACCGAAUGUGACGGUUCAGCAAAGGCUGGAUUGGUUAAAGCAGCAAUGCGCUUAGAGAUGGGUCCAUGGCUGAUUAGCUAGUUGGUGGGGUAAAGGCCCACCAAGGCGACGAUCAGUAGCCGGCCUGAGAGGGUGAACGGCCACAAUGGAACUGAGACACGGUCCAUACUCCUACGGGAGGCAGCAGUUAAGAAGCUUGCUCAAUGGGCGAAAGCCUGAAGCAGCGACGCCGCGUGAACGAUGAAGGUCUUCGGAUUGUAAAGUUCAGUAAGUAGGGACGAAAAAAAUGACGGUACCUACCUAAAGCACCGGCUAACUACGUGCCAGCCGCCGCAGUAACAC